rnacentral:lncRNA from 1 species
GCAUAGGUUUUAUCAAAAAGAAAUAUUUCAAAAUAUAUUUUUAAAAAAGCUAAAGGAGGGGAUAAACGAUAGCAAAAGAGAUAACAAAGAUGACGAUAAAAAUAAUUUCUUAACUAACAACACAAAUGAUAUAAACAUAGAUGAAAAAAAUGAUAAUGGUGACGAUGAGAAUUUGUUGGGUGACAUACAUGACGUCAUAGAAGAAAUUGGUGGUAGUGUUGAAAAAAGUAAAGAGAAUAUAACGGAACAUGCUUUAAAGGGAAGCCCCAAAAAAGAACUAUCUCUGUUGGAUAGUAUUAAGGAAUGUAUAAAUGUCAAACAUUUUUUAAAGUAUGAUUGUGAAAAGUUUAUAAGCAGUUUACAAAUAAUAUUUCAAACGAAGUAUGCUAAUAGUAACAAUAUACAUGACAUAUGGUUAAUGCAAGAACAUAUUUUACAUAUAAUUGAAUUAUAUAAAGAUAGUUCAGAGUUUUGUUCUAGGGUUUUAGGUGUAUAUGUUCAAUUACAAAGUAAAAUGUAUAAUAAUGUUUUAAUUGAAGUUAUAAUUAAUAAAUUAUUGGCAUCUUUUAAUGAUAGUAAUUAUUAUUUUUAUAUUUCUCUAAUUCAUAGACUUUUAUUAAUAAAUAAAAACUUAGGAAGUGUAGUUAUCAGAUGCAUUAAAUUUAUUAUAAAUAAAAGUCUUGGUUUAUUAGAUAAUGAAUCCUUUUAUUUGUUUAUGGAGUUAUGUUUAUAUUUGUUAUCUCAUUUUUUAUUUGAAAAUAAGUUAGCAAGAAAUAAAGAAAUUUUUUUUAAACGAAAAUAUAAUGAUAUGAAUAAAAUUUUGCAAGUAAAGAAUGAAAAUAUGUUUCAGUCGAAUAUGAGCGUAGAACAGAAUAAUGAGUUUGGAAAUACACCAAAUUCAAAUGAUUUAAAAAGUAUUAGUAGCGGUAUGCCAGAAAAUAUGUCCUUCGAUAAGCAAAUGACAAUAAUCAGUGGAAAAAAUGAUAAUACUAAUAAUAAAGAUUUAGGAAGUGUCAAAAAAAAUGUUAUAUUAACAAAAAAUGAAAGUACUUUGAACAAAAUGAAAAGCCAUGAGUUAAAAGUACCUUAUAGUUUAGAUAUUGAUAUUAAAUAUAGCUCAGAUGAAGAGGAAGUGGAUGAUGAAAAAAAAAAAGAAGAAGCAAAAGUCGAAACAAAAACAAAUCGUAACAAUAUUGAUGGAUAUGGAGAAGACGAAGAUGUCGAUUAUGACGAUGAGGAGGGUGACGAUCGAAAAGAAAUGAACAUGAACCACCAUAACGAUGAUAGUGAUAAUCAGUGUGAUGAAGAAUACAAUGAACAUAAUCAUUUUGAUUGUUCUAUUUUUAUGGAAGAAUUACAAAAAUUGAAUAUGACUAAAAAUUUAAAAAGGUUUACUAGUUUAAUGUAUAAUGUAAAAAAAACAUAUCAUAGAAAAUGGGUAAGAAAUUUUUAUUUUAAAUCUUUUUCUUUAGUUUAUAGAAACGAUACAAAUAAUUUAAUACCCAAGUCAGUUAUUGAUUAUUGUAAUAGUUUUAUUCAUGUUAAAGAAAAAGAGCAUGAAAAAUUAUAUGAAUAUAUGAUUUUUCAGAAUAUUUUAAAAUAUACUUUAAAUGAAAUUAAUGAUAUGGAGGAUAAACAUAUUGACAUGGCUAAUUUAAAAAAAAAAAAUUAUGACAAUUAUAACAGCAACAAACGGACUAAUUUUACUAUUGAUACUGCCAAUAAUAAUAAUGCUUUACACAAUAGUAGUGGUGAUAAGAUUGCUGAUGAAAAUGCUAUAAAUGAAUUUAAAGUAGUAAUUAAUGAGUUAAUUGAAAAAUUUUUGCAAUAUUUAGAUGCAAAAAUGCAUUUGAAUAAAGUCCCAAUGUUUUUUAGCAAUAUAUCACAAAAUGUUUAUCUAUUAAAGGAAUAUAACAAUAAUAGAAAUAUUAACAAAUUAAAUGUUUUUUUUUUUGAUAGUUAUAUAUAUCCCAGUGAUUUUUUUAAAAAGUCAGAAAUUUGGGAUAGUCACAAUAUAUUAAUACUUUUUUUUAAGGCCGCAAUAUUUUUUGGAGAAUCCAAUGUAUCUGACUUAGAAAAAAUUUUUAAAAAUCAUGCAGUUCUAUUUCAUAAUUAUAAAAAUUCAAAUUAUAAUAUGCUUUCGGACGAUGCAAAAAAACAGUUUGACGUAGAACUAAUUAAAACGGUUUAUACAUAUUUUAAUAACUCGAUUUUAUUUAAUGUAAUUGUAAAUAUAUUACUUGAAAAUCAAAUAAUUGAUGAAUUUUCCGUUCUUUCUUUUAUUUUUGAUAUAUUGAGUGAUUCCAACUUAGACGAAUAUUAUGUCCAAAGACUUAUUUACGAAAUCGUAAAAAAUUUAAUUACGAAGAAAGAGCAAAACGAUUUAAAAAAAAACAACUUGAAAAGAAAACAAACUAAAAAUGAAAAUGAGGCAUUAAUAAAAGAAUUAGACGAUAAAAAUCAAGAACUGAAUAAUAAAAUUUUCCACUUGACAAAUGAAACAAUUAUGAUGUUCAGUAAAAAAAUGAUGCAAUUAAAAAAUGAGUCCAAUUCAUAUAUGAGCAAAGAAAUGUUAAAAGAAUCAUUAGUAUAUAUGCGAACAUUUGGUAAAUACAUAGAUAUCGACAAUUUUAUGCAGUCAUGUCAGGAUUAUGCCUUUGCGUCAGAAUUAAUGGAGUUAGGAACCGUUUUUAAAUAUGCUAGUUUAAAAAAA